GACAGAGGGUGCAAACGUUGUUCGGAAUUACUGGGCGUAAAGCGCGUGUAGGCGGCAGCGUGUGUCGGGCGUGAAAUCCCACGGCUCAACCGUGGAAGUGCACCCGAAACUGCGCAGCUAGAGUCCUGGAGAGGAAGGUGGAAUACUUGGUGUAGAGGUGAAAUUCGUAGAUAUCAAGUGGAACACCGGUGGCGAAGGCGGCCUUCUGGACAGUGACUGACGCUGAGACGCGAAAGCGUGGGGAGCAAACAGG
rnacentral:rRNA from 2 species